UAAGGAAUAUUGGUCAAUGGACGCAAGUCUGAACCAGCCAUGCCGUGUGAAGGAUGAAGGGUCCUCUGGAUUGUAAACUUCUUUUUAUGAGGGGGGCAGGAAAAAAUGGGAAAUCUUUCUCACUUGACAGUACCCUAUGAAUAAGCACCGGCUAACUCCGUGCCAGCAGCCGCGGUAAUACGGAGGGUGCAAGCGUUAUCCGGAUUCACCGGGUUUAAAAGGGUGCGUAGGCGGGGCGUAUAAGUCAGUGGUGAAAUCCUGGAGCUUAACUCCCAGAACUGCCAUUGAUACUAUAUGUCUUGAAUAUGGUGGAGGUAAGCGGAAUAUGUCAUGUAGCGGUGAAAUGCAUAGAUAUGACAUAGAACACCUAUUGCGAAGGCAGCUUACUACGCCUAUAUUGACGCUGAGGCACGAAAGCGUGGGGGAUCAAACAGGAUUAGAUACCCUGGUAGUCCACGCCCUAAACGAUGAUUACUCGACGUGUGCGAUAAACGGUACGCGUCUGAGCGAAAGCUUAAGUAAUCCACCUGGGAAGUACGACCGCAAGGUUGAAACUCAAAGGAAUUGACGGGGUCAUAGCUGUUUCCUG
rnacentral:rRNA from 1 species